rnacentral:rRNA from 1 species
UACGAAGGGGGCUAGCGUUGUUCGGAAUUACUGGGCGUAAAGGGCGCGUAGGCGGCAUGUCAAGUCAGGCGUGAAAGCCCCGGGCUCAACCUGGGAACCGCGCUUGAGACUGGCAUGCUCGAGUUCGGGAGAGGAUGGUGGAAUUCCCAGUGUAGAGGUGAAAAUUCGUAGAUAUUGGGAAGAACACCGAUGGCGAAGGCAGCCAUCUGGACCGACACUGACGCUGAGGCGCGAAAGCGUGGGGAGCAA